rnacentral:lncRNA from 1 species
UCUCUUCUUCACCCAAAGAGUGUAAGCUUCCAAAGCUACACAAUUGCAUGGACCAAGCUCAGAUCUUCCUUUCCUAUGCACAUUAUACCAAGCAUGCAUAAUCUUCUGUUUCAAAUGUUGGGGAUCUUUACCCUCUUAAUAGAAAAGACCUUCUGACAACAUGUUAUUAGGUUUGUCUCUCAAGGGGAACCCAAGUUGACGACGAGCCAAAGCAGGGUUGUAGUUAAUUCCUCCUGGUGUACCAAUGAG